rnacentral:rRNA from 1 species
AGCAGAGAUGCUUUGGUGCCUUCGGGAACUGUGAGACAGGUGCUGCAUGGCUGUCGUCAGCUCGUGUUGUGAAAUGUUGGGUUAAGUCCCGCAACGAGCGCAACCCUUAUCCUUUGUUGCCAGCGGUCCGGCCGGGAACUCAAAGGAGACUGCCAGUGAUAAACUGGAGGAAGGUGGGGAUGACGUCAAGUCAUCAUGGCCCUUACGACCAGGGCUACACACGUGCUACAAUGGCAUAUACAAAGAGAAGCGACC